rnacentral:rRNA from 1 species
GAUGAACGCUGGCGGCGUGCCUAAUACAUGCAAGUCGAGCGAACGGACGAGAAACUUGCUUUUCUGAUGUUAGCGGCGGACGGGUGAGUAACACGUGGAUAACCUACCUAUAAGACUGGGAUAACUUCGGGAAACCGGAGCUAAUAUCGGAUAAUAUUUUGAACCGCAUGGUUCAAAAGUGAAAGACGGUCUUGCUGUCACUUAUAGAUGGAUCCGCGCUGCAUUAGCUAGUUGGUAAGGUAACGGCUUACCAAGGCAACGAUGCAUAGCCGACCUGAGAGGGUGAUCGGCCACACUGGAACUGAGACACGGUCCAGACUCCUACGGGAGGCAGCAGUAGGGAAUCUUCCGCAAUGGGCGAAAGCCUGACGGAGCAACGCCGCGUGAGUGAUGAAGGUCUUCGGAUCGUAAAACUCUGUUAUUAGGGAAGAACAUAUGUGUAAGUAACUGUGCACAUCUUGACGGUACCUAAUCAGAAAGCCACGGCUAACUACGUG